rnacentral:rRNA from 1 species
UACGAGUGCCUCAAGCGUUAUCCGGAAUCAUUGGGCGUAAAGGUUGUGUAGGUGGUUGUAUUAGUCUCUUGUUAAAUUCUUCGGCUUAACCGGGGGCAUGCAAGGGAAACGGUACGACUAGAGGAUGCGAGGGGUCUGUGGAAUUCAUAGUGUAGCGGUAAAAUGCGUUGAUAUUACGGAGAACACCAAAAGCGAAGGCAGCAGACUGGAGCACUCCUGACACUGAAACAAGAAAGCGUGGGUCGCGAAUGGG